rnacentral:rRNA from 1 species
AGAGUUGAUUAUGGCUCAGGACGAACGCUGGCGGCAUGCCUAACACAUGCAAGUCGAACGGAAGUAGCAAUACUUAGUGGCGAACGGGUGAGUAACACGUGAGCAACCUGCCUUAUACUCAGGGAUAACAGUUGGAAACGACUGCUAAUACCGGAUAAGACCACACUAUGGCAUCAUAGAGGGGUCAAAGUGCUUUAGCGGUAUGAGAUGGGCUCGCGUCCAAUUAGCUAGUUGGUGGGGUAACGGCCCACCAAGGCGACGAUUGGUAGCCGACUUGAGAGAGUGAUCGGCCACACUGGAACUGAGACACGGUCCAGACUCCUACGGGAGGCAGCAGUGGGGAAUAUUGGGCAAUGGAGGAAACUCUUACCCAAGCAAUGCCGCGUGAGUGAUGAAGGUCUUUGGAUUGUAAAGCUCUUUGAUUGGGGAAGAAUAAAUGACGGUACCCAAAGAACAAGCCCCGGCUAACUAUGUGCCAGCCGCCGC